ACUCGACCUCAUUCGGUCAUGAGCACCCUUCAGGUUUUUUCACGCGAUGCUUCCUUCCAUAAGCAGACGGAUCGGCUGAACGCUCCCGCGUUCAAGCAUUUCUGUGACAACCGUGAGAAUAUGCCUCAGCUACUAGCGUCGAUUGCUACGAGCUGUCAGUCUUAUCGCCACAAUCACGAUGACAGGAGCCAUGUGCGUAACCAAGGCUGCCUCGCGUUCGUACAAAAUACGCGCAACUGUUUCUUUCGAAAGCUUGCGUCCCAGUGUUAGCAGACAGGACAGGUUCGUCAGGUCGUUCGCGCGGGACCGUUUCAGUUUCUGGUGUGUGGUUAUGGUAAAUAGAUUGAAAUAGCUUCAAAAACUUUCUAGUUUUUUCACGUUCAAUAUGUAAAAUCAAGCAAAAAAGUGAAGUUGUGUGAUACAUUUUUAUGCUAUUCUAAACACAUGUGGAUUAUUCUUUAAAAACAACUAUUGUAAUAAUUGGUCUGUAUAAACAAUAAAGCGAGCGAGUUUCUUUCAACGAAACUAAACAAAUUGUUUCUACAUCAACGCUAGUUUACACUGCCAAACCUAUGAAGAGCGAGCAUUCUUUUGGGAGGAGAAACAGCGGCAAAAUACUACCGUAUACUAAAUUUACUCUUACCUCGCUCAAUUUUUCUCGGAUACUUUUUGUAUCAGUUUCCGUGGAUGAGUGUUUCUUUGCGAAUUGUUUCAGUGUUGGAUAAAACAUAGUUACAAAACUUUACACGCGGCAACUAGUGUUCAAAAAUAAUGUUAAUAACAGUGGGAAAAUAACUACAUUGUGAAAGUGAACUGAAAAAAAAUCAUAUAAGGUUCAACAGCAAGUGUAUCAACAGCAAAACAGAGCGCACAUUGUUCAUUUGUUCAUUGAUUUAAUAACUCGUACGCCGUAAAGGCGUACCGAGAGGAAACUAAUUGUAAAACGAUAGCUGAUAAUUGCUAAAAUUUGACCCCCUGUACACUGUAACAAGAAGCGGCUAUCUAGCUAUAUUACUUAAUAAUAAGUCUCGUAAGCCUGUAUAACCUAGCAUGAGUGCUUAUUAAUCGUUAAAUAGAAGAAGAAGGCUGUGUACUGUACAUUUUAUACAUGGACUAUUACUGUGAUUCAUUAUAGAAUAUAAGAAGAUCCACACAAACUGCAUAGCAUUAAUAUACUUCAGCAAUUUAGCCCAAAUUGACUCACGAUAAUAUUACAGCUUUAUUCGUUUGUUGACAGCAUGAAUAGGGUCAGUGUUGCUGUUGUUGGUGUUGAUGUAUUUCUAAUUACCUGGCCAGUUCAAGAUACAAGACACUUGACCUAAACGUUUCACUCUUUCUGUGACAUCCAAAUCAACAAUAUGGAAUUUUCUGCGAGGCAUCUGCCCGAAUCACACCAUUCUCUCGGUACAUUUCGUACAAUACCUCGUUGACGCCGAAAGUAUCGAAUGUCAGCCUAGCAGCAGCGUAAGCAUUUGCAUGCCAGUAGGGCACCCGAGAAAAGACAAUUGAUACGUGAUUGAAAGGCUAAGUGAUAAGAGUUUGAUUUUUAAUUGAAAUUCCAACACUCGUCAAUCCAACGACAACUGCCAUUUGAUGAGCAAAGUGAAAAGCAACACGAUCCAAUGAAAGAACUGACGUAUGGGGGGUGGGGGGCUUGAUGCAACAACAGCGACGACAUAAGUGUACUGGUGGUCAGAAGGGUAACGCUUCACGACGUGAAAGAGACCCGUGCAUUUGGCUUUUUGUGCAUACUAGUCCAACAAGCUCCAAAUAGAUGUUCUAUGACAUGGCCUACGAACAUAAUUGUGUGCCAGUCCCGUUUGCUGACGAAUGAUAGAGAAGCACACCUACCAUGGACAGGAGGCUGAGAACGAAAGAGAGCAAUAACAACGAGAAAGAACCAACCUAGAAUAAAAAAACGAGUAAGCAAAAACACCGAAGCACUCAUACAACAGCAUAUACGUUCUUGCGACCAGACAGCGUAUGGUGCUAUCAAGGCAGGUGGCUGACAUUUGAGGUGUUGCUGCUGUUGUUUGUCUGGACGGGAGUUUGACGCGUUCGAAAAUCAGUUGAACACCAGCUGAAUCAAUGCUGGGAUUCUCCUGCUGCAGGAGAAUUUCCCAUGUAUCAACAGCAAGACAGAGUGCACAUUGUAAAACGAUGCAUUGCAACGAUGAAGGUUGCCAUGUGAAUGUUUUGUUUGCGUAGCAAUCUUCCCGUUCACCAGACCAUAAAGUGUUAGCCCUUAGAACAGUGCAAUUGCUUAACAGAAUCGUUUUAAUACUGUUUUAAUAUUUUUGAGAUGUUAUAUGUAACAUCAAACACAAAAUUCGAUAAAAUAUAUGGCUACCUUUAUCACUUUGAGAGGGUCCAAUCAAUAUUUGAUAAAGGAUGAUAUAGCCUCCAACGGCACUGUUCGAGAACUUGCCUAAAUUCAACCAACUUCCAUUCGAUCACUACACCAGAACAGCCUGAUCAUGGUACAGACGAGGAAAGUGUGGAAGAAAGAGCCAUAAUCACCAUCAUCAUCACCAUCACCAUCAUGAUUACCACCCUGCAACGACAACACCACCAGCUCCGCCCAGUUUACUUCAGCCCCAGGCCCUGCUUACGAACUCCAUUGGAAAGAAAUACAAACCUUUUCCCCGGCUCUCGAACAGGGAUCAAAUCAUGCAGAAAGGAUUCAUAUUUCUGCUCCUACACCCUGCUUGAUUUGCCUGACCGGUUGGCUGUUCGUUCAACGCAAGCUGUCCCCAUGGCGGCAUUUCGCACAAAAUCGGCAAACAACACAGGCGCACUCGUGGUAAAAUUGCAGAGCACUCAUCCCUGGGCUCCCACACCAGCUGUCGAUGAAUGAUGAUAAAUUUGUAAUUAAUUGAUGAAAAAUGGCAUCACCAUUCGCAUGCGAGUGUACUACGGAGAAGCACUCCAGUACGGUGGAAAGCUCUGCAAGAACAUCAACGCAUGGGCAAAGCAAUAACGAAAAAAUAACACAGACACAUACUAUGAAAUCCAAUUCUGUGCUCCUGCCACACGGCAGAUCCACUACCAUUUGGCCGAGUUUUGUUUGUGUUAUAACUUCCCCGUCGUCAAAACGUCGUUCAACAGCCGAAGAAAGAUGAUACUAAUUUACCCGUCAUAAGCAGACAUCGUGGAACCGGGACGUGCGCCACUCAUCUACCAAACCAGAAAAAAUGGCUAGUUGGAGAAAAAGGACAACGAAGCGAAAACACCAGCAACAGCACGAGCAACAAUGGUUUUCCAAAGAAGGCUGAGCCAACCAUGAAAAACGAGUACUUUAUGGGAGGAAAAACUUGACAGGACCAACUCUCGCGCUUCAACAACCAUCCACCAGUCGAGUCGCACCAUGGACCUUCGAAGCUGAUGCGAGAGGAUCCGUGUGAAGGAUUUCACAUCAGAAAUUCCAUUCUGAGGCAUGUCGUUGGAAUGCCUUCAUCAUUCUUCUACGUUCCAUUCAUCGUUUACACAUGGCUCGUUUGCUGCUUUUCGGACACAUGUUUUGCACGCAAAAGAAACAUACACACAGAGAAAACACACACGACAAGCACAGGGGCUUCAUCCCACUUGCGUGUAUUACAAAAAAGUCACCACCUUUUCAUUCAAAUGGUCCCUUCAGAAAAAAGUGCUUCUCUUCUUUUACAUUCUUACGCAAAUAUACAAAUUUGGAUACAGCGUGUGACGUAUACCGUAAGUUUAAACGAUCUAUUGUUUUGUGUUGAUUCCACUGCACAACACAUGCAGUGCACAACAUUAUUCGCUUUUGCUCAUUCAUUCUUAUUGCUACUUUCUUACUCAAAUUUUGCGUUGCGAAUGAUCAUUGGUGCUAGCGCUUCUGACACUGAGCAGAAUUUACACAAUAGAGAAAAGCAUACGCAUGACACAAGCGCACCUCAAGUAUCUUCCAUUCUAGAGACUCUCAGGGUCAAAAAUUACAGCGUUUCUAAAAGCAAACAUAGUGUGUGCAGGCAAACAUCAACAAACGAAGAAAAAGAGAAUCCACUUCUGAAACAUCAUCUGCCUGCUGGAAUCAUUUUCAUACUUUAAGUCGAAUAAGCAUGGCGCUAUUGCGGUAUCCUUCACGAGCAUCAUAAUUCCCCCAACAAGAAUCAACAAAAACAUAACGAACGUCCGGAGUUGUAUCAAAAAUUAUCGCAAUUGUUGAGCGAAGAAUAUAUAAUGAUAAAGGAUGUAUAUACCUUGCUGGUAUACAUUUGUUUCCCCCAUUUAGCUGAACACUGUGUGCCCGUUGUGUUCCUUCAAACAUUCUAUUAUACAUUCGACCAGUGGAAUUAAUGAUGAAUAGAUGAUUUGUUGUUUGAAUGGACAGCAUUUACCAUUUAGACUGUUAUCCUUGUUGUUGAUUAUUGUAUUAUAGUUAUUCGCUAGAGAAAUAUUAAAAAAAUACACAAAGAUGAAAGCCUUAAAUUAGUGCCUAGGAUAUGACUAUUUUAAGAAGUCAUAACUAAUAUAAUAACAUUUGGAUAACAGGAUAACAGCUUUCGUUAGUGAUAGGUUAUGGAAAAAUGUGUUGUACAUCUCUGCGUGGAUGACAGCGAUUAUCCGUUACCCAUGCAAUGCAAAUUCAAUAAAGAAUCAACGCAAAUUGUCAGUUUUACAGUAUGUUUACGCGUAUGAAAAAUCAAAACAUAUCGUCUCGGUUCAUAUUUCUUUCAAAUUAUCUACACCUCUAAGUUCUUUCUACUAGAUUACAAUGAACAAAUAAUUCAGAACGACAUACACGAAACAUAAGCACGACAAGAGUUUCAGAUAGAAUGCAGACAGCCUAAAACCAUUCCAUACUACUAUGACAAUUAAUUGCCUUGUUCUGCUUAAGAUACAAUACAAUGGAAGCAAACAAGCUUAUCUUUCCCAUCCGAUAACAGAACCAUAUCAGCAAGACGACAGCAACCAGAGUGAAAGUAAUUGGAAAAUUUAAAAUAUGGCUCACAUCAAUUUAGUCGGCUUUCGGGAAUUUGGCAAUUCUGGGCGCUUAGAAGAUGGAUCUAGUCGCACAAUUUUCGUACAUCCUCUACUGCACCGUUGUUUUAGCGGUGUUGCCUGUACCUCUGCUGCAGAGAAAAAAUAUGCCCAGAAUCAGGUUAAAUUAAUCGUUCCGGUUUUAAGCAAUUUCGUUCGCUCGUCAGCUAUGUUGCUUUCCGUUUUGGUCAUCGCCGUUGCUGUUGUUGAAUGUCUUAGCUCGUUUACCAGCUGCAACCAAAUUUCGAUCCACUAGUGCACAUCACCCAAUGCACAGCACACAGCAGUUGAGAUACUAACAUUCCAUCCGAUUUGCUGCACAUUUGCUGUUUCUCUUGCUUUUUCGAACAGGUGUAGCAACAUUUUACUAUUGCUUGCAUAAGGAUACAUAGAGAUACAUUGAGAAAGAAAGGGACAGCGAUGGACACAAAGAGAAAUAAAGGAGAGUGAGGAAGUGGGAGACAGAGAGAAGAGCGGAAAUGUUGAAGAAAUAAAUUUUCUAAUUUGCUGAAUGUACAUUUAGAACAUUUUUCCCAACUCACAACGGUGCACCCAAAUUAAACCGAACAAUGUUUCUUGCUCGAAAUUCCUCAUGGGAAAGGGAAGGAAAAGGACACCCUCAAAAACCUGCUACAGAAACACCCAAGCUAGACGAACAAUCAGUAGCAAAAUCCUGUCCUAAAGCAUAUAAAUAGUGCACGUACGGAACACACUAUAUGCAACACGAAACGAACGAUCUUAGGAGCUACCAACAAGUCAUUGUUUCUUGCUACAACUGCUGUUCGCAAACAAAAAUGUGCCAUCUAUCUCUGACCAAGCGAGUUGCUAGCAUAGAAAUUCUUACUCGUAAAAAUCAACAAUCACGAUGAAGGAUUGCAAUGGGUUGCGAAUUGUUGUGUGUGGAGCCGGAUACCAUACCCCACCACCAUCAUCUGCCAGUUCAUAAGGAAGACACAAUCAGAGGUAGCUUAUAUGCGGAACUAUUGCUAAAACUAUUGCUAUGCCGGAUAAGUAAGUAAGUAUUGCUAAAACGCAAUGAAACUGCUUCAGCACUCGUAUGUCGGUACAAUAUCUACCGAUGCAUAAUAUACACAAUGAACAGGAUCACUCAUAAUCCUCGUUUAGAAUGGUCGAUGCGCAAACGAUAGAACUGUAAGCAUCCGGUCUAGUAGGUUUUCACAUUUUUGAAGAUGGACCAUUUUUUGGUUUUUUGCAUAUCCCCCCUCGAACGGUCCCCUGCAUACGGUGCUUCUACCAUCCCAACCAUCACUUCAAUAAGCAAUGCUGCAACAGUACAGAUGGGAACGAGAACGAAUUUAUUUGUUUUCCAUUUCCAAACUGCUUCCAAGCACUUCUCCAGCCCAUUGUCCUGUCAUCGUGGGUAUAUUUCCAUCAGUUUUAUUCCCCAAGCAUCGUCUAUCACGACCAUCCUAUUUAUCGUCCACCAUCAUUUUGUGGUACCAUCUUGAGUGAAAUCUCCAAAGAUAGAUAAUUUGAUAUUCUCCUGAAAAACAUUUGCUGGCAAACGUAAAAUCCCUCAGCAUCCCAAAAUCUGUGCUGCUACACUCAUAUAUACUCACACACACACACACACACACACGUACUUCUACGCUUUGCACAACUUUCCGAAAUUUGGUCUGUCGGUUUAUGCUGACAACCAACGUCGUCGUAUGGUGCAACGCCGAGGGAGUUAGCCAGUGAGGUUAUAACGUUUCGGUCGGAAGCUUGUCAACAAGAACUAGUCUUCAAAUGCUUGCGUAUCUUACUCACAAUUGUAUCCAUCUGCCAACACACAAUACUUUUUCUUCACAACAAACUAUCUAUUCGUCCUGCUCCUGGCACCACCCUGCCCAACCAUGCCAAUCAAUGGCGCAUCGGUCGGUCAGACAAGCUCGUCAGGAGAUGAACCUCGAAAAUCGAUCACGUUUGCAUAGUUUGUGAAGUGCAUUAAAAACUGCACACUUGCAUCUACAAUCAUCCCAGUUUGACCUAAUCCAUUUUUUCCUAUCUAACGAGACCCGAGCGAGCUUCAAGAAUGAAGCAAGGAUUAUACCGACUAAAUACAUUCACAACUUUUUCGUCCUGCAUCAGCACAAUUGCAAUCAACCUGCCUCCGAGUUUGGUACGCAGAAGCGCAGAGUGGUGUGUUGCUUUUCGAUUCAUCACAACCAAUGAGUGCAUUGGAUAGUGCUGUUCACUAUAUUUUUUACCACCGUUUAUGCUCGUCAGUUACUAAUAAUGAUAAGCAUCUUGGUAUUUGGAGAUCGUUAGUUAUCUAUUAAAGUUUUCAAUCAAACCAAACCUGUCCAUCAAACCAUACGAUUACAAGAGCAAUUAAUUAUUGUUCCAAUGUUUAAGGCCCGCUCAUUUGAUUUACGUUUUAGGAUUUGAUUUACGUUCAA